rnacentral:rRNA from 1 species
GACGAACGCUGGCGGCGUGCUUAACACAUGCAAGUCGAGCGGAAAGGCCCUGCGUUUGUUUGUUUCUCGAUUGGCGAAGGGGGGUGUAACACGUGAGGAACCUCCCCUUAACUUUGUGGUAACUUCAGGAGACUGCGGCUAAUACCGGGUAUGAUCUCCUGCUGCAUGUGGUUGGAUGGUAAAUUUCGGCGGUUGUGGCUGGAUUCGCUGCUUAUCAGCUUGUUUGGGUGGUAGUUGCUGCCGAGGCCUUUGACGGGUAGCCUGCCUGAGAGGGUGACCGGCGACAUUGGGCCUGCGAUACGGCCCAGUAUCCUACGGGAGGCAGUAGUGGGGAACCUUGCACAACGGGGCGAAGCCUGAUGUAGAAAUGCCGCGUGCGGGAUGCUGGCCUUCGGGUUGUAAACAGAUUUCGAAUGUGCCGAAGAGUGCGUGACGGUACUUGGUAAAGAAGCCACGGCUAACUACGUG